AAUUGGAGGGCAAGUCUGGUGCCAGCAGCCGCGGUAAUUCCAGCUCCAAUAGCGUAUAUUAAAGUUGUUGCAGUUAAAAAGCUCGUAGUUGAAUUUCGGGAUCAGUAGGUCGGUCAUGCCUAUGGUAUGUACUGGCUUUACUGGUUCCUCCUUCUUGAUGAUCUGUAAUGUCAUUAAUUUGGUGUUGCAGGGAGUCAGGACUGUUACUUUGAAAAAAUUAGAGUGUUUAAAGCAGGCAUACGCUUGAAUACAUUAGCAUGGAAUAAUGAAAUAGGACGUUCGAUCCUAUUUUGUUGGUUUCUAGGAUUGACGUAAUGAUUAAUAGGGAUAGUUGGGGGCAUUAGUAUUCAAUUGUCAGAGGUGAAAUUCUUGGAUUUAUUGAAGACUAACUACUGCGAAAGCAUUUGCCAAGGAUGUUUUCAUUAAUCAAGAACGAAAGUUAGGGGAUCGAAGACGAUCAGAUACCGUCGUAGUCUUAACCAUAAACUAUGCCGACUAGGGAUCGGAUGAUGUUAUUUUUAAUGACUCAUUCGGCGCCUUACGGGAAACCAAAGUGU
rnacentral:rRNA from 1 species